UACGGGGGGUGCGAGCGUUGUCCGGAAUCACUGGGCGUAAAGGGCGCGUAGGUGGUUUGAUAAGGGUGUGGUGAAAGUCCGGGGCUCAACCCCGGAUCUGCCGUGCCGACUGUCAAACUCGAGGACUGUAGAGGCAGACGGAAUUCCGGGUGUAGCGGUGGAAUGCGUAGAGAUCCGGAGGAAGACCGGUGGCGAAGGCGGUCUGCUGGGCAGUAACUGACGCUGAGGAGCGAAAGCGUGGGGAGCGAACAGG
rnacentral:rRNA from 1 species